UCAGCACGGGGGCAACCCUGGUGGCGAGUGGCGAACGGGUGAGUAAUAUAUCGGAACGUGCCCUAGAGUGGGGGAUAACGUAGCGAAAGUUACGCUAAUACCGCAUACGAUCUACGGAUGAAAGUGGGGGAUCGCAAGACCUCAUGCUCGUGGAGCGGCCGAUAUCUGAUUAGCUAGUUGGUAGGGUAAAAGCCUACCAAGGCAUCGAUCAGUAGCUGGUCUGAGAGGACGACCAGCCACACUGGGACUGAGACACGGCCCAGACUCCUACGGGAGGCAGCAGUGGGGAAUUUUGGACAAUGGGGGCAACCCUGAUCCAGCGAUGCCGCGUGAGUGAAGAAGGCCUUCGGGUUGUAAAGCUCUUUUGUCAGGGAAGAAACGGUUUGGGCUAAUACCCUGGACUAAUGACGGUACCUG
rnacentral:rRNA from 1 species